GGGUUGUGAGGUUAAGCGACUAAGCGUACACGGUGGAUGCCCUGGCAGUCAGAGGCGAUGAAGGACGUGCUAAUCUGCGAUAAGCGUCGGUAAGGUGAUAUGAACCGUUAUAACCGGCGAUUUCCGAAUGGGGAAACCCAGUGUGUUUCGACACACUAUCAUUAACUGAAUCCAUAGGUUAAUGAGGCGAACCGGGGGAACUGAAACAUCUAAGUACCCCGAGGAAAAGAAAUCAACCGAGAUUCCCCCAGUAGCGGCGAGCGAACGGGGAGCAGCCCAGAGCCUGAAUCAGUGUGUGUGUUAGUGGAAGCGUCUGGAAAGGCGCGCGAUACAGGGUGACAGCCCCGUACACAAAAAUGCACAUGCUGUGAGCUCGAUGAGUAGGGCGGGACACGUGGUAUCCUGUCUGAAUAUGGGGGGACCAUCCUCCAAGGCUAAAUACUCCUGACUGACCGAUAGUGAACCAGUACCGUGAGGGAAAGGCGAAAAGAACCCCGGCGAGGGGAGUGAAAAAGAACCUGAAACCGUGUACGUACAAGCAGUGGGAGCACGCUUAGGCGUGUGACUGCGUACCUUUUGUAUAAUGGGUCAGCGACUUAUAUUCUGUAGCAAGGUUAACCGAAUAGGGGAGCCGAAGGGAAACCGAGUCUUAACUGGGCGUUAAGUUGCAGGGUAUAGACCCGAAACCCGGUGAUCUAGCCAUGGGCAGGUUGAAGGUUGGGUAACACUAACUGGAGGACCGAACCGACUAAUGUUGAAAAAUUAGCGGAUGACUUGUGGCUGGGGGUGAAAGGCCAAUCAAACCGGGAGAUAGCUGGUUCUCCCCGAAAGCUAUUUAGGUAGCGCCUCGUGAACUCAUCUCCGGGGGUAGAGCACUGUUUCGGCAAGGGGGUCAUCCCGACUUACCAACCCGAUGCAAACUGCGAAUACCGGAGAAUGUUAUCACGGGAGACACACGGCGGGUGCUAACGUCCGUCGUGAAGAGGGAAACAACCCAGACCGCCAGCUAAGGUCCCAAAGUCAUGGUUAAGUGGGAAACGAUGUGGGAAGGCCCAGACAGCCAGGAUGUUGGCUUAGAAGCAGCCAUCAUUUAAAGAAAGCGUAAUAGCUCACUGGUCGAGUCGGCCUGCGCGGAAGAUGUAACGGGGCUAAACCAUGCACCGAAGCUGCGGCAGCGACGCUUAUGCGUUGUUGGGUAGGGGAGCGUUCUGUAAGCCUGUGAAGGUGUGCUGUGAGGCAUGCUGGAGGUAUCAGAAGUGCGAAUGCUGACAUAAGUAACGAUAAAGCGGGUGAAAAGCCCGCUCGCCGGAAGACCAAGGGUUCCUGUCCAACGUUAAUCGGGGCAGGGUGAGUCGACCCCUAAGGCGAGGCCGAAAGGCGUAGUCGAUGGGAAACAGGUUAAUAUUCCUGUACUUGGUGUUACUGCGAAGGGGGGACGGAGAAGGCUAUGUUGGCCGGGCGACGGUUGUCCCGGUUUAAGCGUGUAGGCUGGUUUUCCAGGCAAAUCCGGAAAAUCAAGGCUGAGGCGUGAUGACGAGGCACUACGGUGCUGAAGCAACAAAUGCCCUGCUUCCAGGAAAAGCCUCUAAGCAUCAGGUAACAUCAAAUCGUACCCCAAACCGACACAGGUGGUCAGGUAGAGAAUACCAAGGCGCUUGAGAGAACUCGGGUGAAGGAACUAGGCAAAAUGGUGCCGUAACUUCGGGAGAAGGCACGCUGAUAUGUAGGUGAAGUCCCUCGCGGAUGGAGCUGAAAUCAGUCGAAGAUACCAGCUGGCUGCAACUGUUUAUUAAAAACACAGCACUGUGCAAACACGAAAGUGGACGUAUACGGUGUGACGCCUGCCCGGUGCCGGAAGGUUAAUUGAUGGGGUCAGCGCAAGCGAAGCUCUUGAUCGAAGCCCCGGUAAACGGCGGCCGUAACUAUAACGGUCCUAAGGUAGCGAAAUUCCUUGUCGGGUAAGUUCCGACCUGCACGAAUGGCGUAAUGAUGGCCAGGCUGUCUCCACCCGAGACUCAGUGAAAUUGAACUCGCUGUGAAGAUGCAGUGUACCCGCGGCAAGACGGAAAGACCCCGUGAACCUUUACUAUAGCUUGACACUGAACAUUGAGCCUUGAUGUGUAGGAUAGGUGGGAGGCUUUGAAGUGUGGACGCCAGUCUGCAUGGAGCCGACCUUGAAAUACCACCCUUUAAUGUUUGAUGUUCUAACGUUGACCCGUGAUCCGGGUUGCGGACAGUGUCUGGUGGGUAGUUUGACUGGGGCGGUCUCCUCCUAAAGAGUAACGGAGGAGCACGAAGGUUGGCUAAUCCUGGUCGGACAUCAGGAGGUUAGUGCAAUGGCAUAAGCCAGCUUGACUGCGAGCGUGACGGCGCGAGCAGGUGCGAAAGCAGGUCAUAGUGAUCCGGUGGUUCUGAAUGGAAGGGCCAUCGCUCAACGGAUAAAAGGUACUCCGGGGAUAACAGGCUGAUACCGCCCAAGAGUUCAUAUCGACGGCGGUGUUUGGCACCUCGAUGUCGGCUCAUCACAUCCUGGGGCUGAAGUAGGUCCCAAGGGUAUGGCUGUUCGCCAUUUAAAGUGGUACGCGAGCUGGGUUUAGAACGUCGUGAGACAGUUCGGUCCCUAUCUGCCGUGGGCGCUGGAGAACUGAGGGGGGCUGCUCCUAGUACGAGAGGACCGGAGUGGACGCAUCACUGGUGUUCGGGUUGUCAUGCCAAUGGCACUGCCCGGUAGCUAAAUGCGGAAGAGAUAAGUGCUGAAAGCAUCUAAGCACGAAACUUGCCCCGAGAUGAGUUCUCCCUGACCCUUUAAGGGUCCUGAAGGAACGUUGAAGACGACGACGUUGAUAGGCCGGGUGUGUAAGCGCAGCGAUGCGUUGAGCUAACCGGUACUAAUGAACCGUGAGGCUUAACCUUACAACGCCGAAGCUGUU
rnacentral:rRNA from 1 species